GGACUACUGGGGUUUCUAAUCCUGCUUGCUCCCCACGCUUUCGUGCAUGAGCGUCAGUGCAGGCCCAGGGGACUGCCUUCGCCAUCGGUGUUCCUCCGCAUAUCUACGCAUUUCACUGCUACACGCGGAAUUCCAUCCCCCUCUGCCGCACUCCAGCCUUGCAGUCACAAAGGCCAUUCCUAGGUUGAGCCCAGGGAUUUCACCUCUGUCUUACAAGACCGCCUGCGCACGCUUUACGCCCAGUAAUUCCGAUUAACGCUCGCACCCUACGUAUUACCGCGGCUGCUGGCAC
rnacentral:misc_RNA from 1 species